rnacentral:snoRNA from 1 species
AUCCUUCAAUUUGCUAGUGUGAUGACUGGAUGUUCAGGCUAUUGUGUGAGAUGUGCCUUCCUCUAAACCUUGCUAUUACCUGUCUGAUG